AACAUCGCGCACCUGCGGGAACCUGCGGAAGGAUCAUUAACAAGCUGUGGGAGAUCAAUUUGAUCUCACACCUGGCCAACCUUGUUAACCUUAAAUAUAUAUUGCUUUGGUGAGCCCUGGCGGUUUUAGGGUUUUUCUAACCCUAAUAUUUCCCAGACUAGUGCUCACCAAAGUCAAACCCUAAACUCUUGAUUGUUUCUGCUGUCUGAGCAUGCAAGUGCAAAAUUUAGUUAAAAAAAC
rnacentral:misc_RNA from 1 species